CCAGACGGCCGGAUGGCCGCCUUCCGCGGUUUCGCGGGGGGAGGAAAGUCCGGGCUCCACGGAAACACGGUGCCGGGUAACACCCGGCGGGGGCGACCCCAGGGAAAGUGCCACAGAAAGCAAACCGCCGGCGCGCCUCGGCCCGCCGGUAAGGGUGAAAGGGUGCGGUAAGAGCGCACCGCGCCCCCGGCAACGGGGGCGGCACGGUAAACCCCACCGGGAGCAAGACCGAGUAGGGACGGCAGGCCGGCCGGUUUCUCCGGAAACCGCCGGCGGGCGGGUUUCCGCGCCGCCGUCCGGGUGUGUCGCGCGAGGCGCCCGGCGACGGGCGUCCCAGAUGAAUGGCCAUCCCCCGUGCCACCCUCGGACAAGUGCGGCACGGGGACAGAACCCGGCUUACAGGCCGUCUGGCACU
rnacentral:RNase_P_RNA from 1 species